UAGGGAAUCUUCCACAAUGGGCGAAAGCCUGAUGGAGCAACGCCGCGUGUGUGAUGAAGGCUUUCGGGUCGUAAAGCACUGUUGUAUGGGAAGAACAGCUAGAAUAGGGAAUGAUUUUAGUUUGACGGUACCAUACCAGAAAGGGACGGCUAAAUACGUGCCAGCAGCCGCGGUAAUACGUAUGUCCCGAGCGUUAUCCGGAUUUAUUGGGCGUAAAGCGAGCGCAGACGGUUGAUUAAGUCUGAUGUGAAAGCCCGGAGCUCAACUCCGGAAUGGCAUUGGAAACUGGUUAACUUGAGUGCAGUAGAGGUAAGUGGAACUCCAUGUGUAGCGGUGGAAUGCGUAGAUAUAUGGAAGAACACCAGUGGCGAAGGCGGCUUACUGGACUGUAACUGACGUUGAGGCUCGAAAGUGUGGGUAGCAAACAGG
rnacentral:rRNA from 1 species